CGGGGCGUAGCGCAGUCUGGUAGCGCGCCUGCUUUGGGAGCAGGAUGUCGCAAGUUCGAAUCUUGCCGUCCCGACCA
rnacentral:tRNA from 1 species